CAUGAGUUGUUGUUUGUUGAGCUAUGAAGAAAUAGAAGAGAUAAAUACAUACACAACUUCAGUACAUGGUAUGUGUGUGGACCCAGGAGUUAAACACACAAUCCUGGUAUUGCAAGCACCGUGCUUUACCAACUGCGCCAUACAGGACCAGAGUCAUGUCAUAUUCAAGAGAAUGUGUGCUGGCCUUUGUUAAUUUCUAGGAGAGGGUUACAGCAGUGAGACACUUGGGAUGCAACCAGAAGUUUGAUGGUACUGGACAAGAGUUUGCUCACGCCUGGUUCCUGGGAGACGUUCACUUUGAUGAUGAUGAACAUUUUACUGCACCUAACACUGGCAGUGGGAUCAGCCUGCUCAAAGUGGCAGUGCAUGAGAUAGGCCACGUCCUGGGCCUGCCUCACAUCUACAGGACUGGUUCCAUUAUGCAACCCAGUUACCUGCCCCAGGAAUCAGGCUUCGAGAUAAACUGGAUGGACAGGAAGGCCAUACAGCACCUCUAUGGGGACUGUAAGGGCCAGUUCAACACAGUGUUUGACUGAAUCAGGAAGGAGCGAUCCCAAUACGGUGAGGUGGUGAUUCGUUUCAACACCUACUUCAUGAGGGACGGUUGGUACUGGCUCUAUGAGAACAGGUAAAAAUGGACAAAUAAUGACAAUCUUAAAGUUGACCUUUCCGUUAGUCAGCACCUCUUCAACGACUUUGGGUGUGUGUCAAUUAAUUCCUACAGACCAACAACUAUAUAUGUAUAUUUUGAAAACAAUGAGAUAGACUUCAUUAUAAAAAGUAUGGA